GAUGAACGCUGGCGGCGUGCCUAAUACAUGCAAGUCGAGCGAACGGACGAGAAGCUUGCUUCUCUGAUGUUAGCGGCGGACGGGUGAGUAACACGUGGAUAACCUACCUAUAAGACUGGGAUAACUUCGGGAAACCGGAGCUAAUACCGGAUAAUAUUUUGAACCGCAUGGUUCAAUAGUGAAAGACGGUCUUGCUGUCACUUAUAGAUGGAUCCGCGCUGCAUUAGCUAGUUGGUAAGGUAACGGCUUACCAAGGCAACGAUGCAUAGCCGACCUGAGAGGGUGAUCGGCCACACUGGAACUGAGACACGGUCCAGACUCCUACGGGAGGCAGCAGUAGGGAAUAUUCCGCAAUGGGCGAAAGCAUGACGGAGCAACGCCGCGUGAGUGAUGAAGGUCUUCGGAUCGUAAAACUCUGUUAUUAGGGAAGAACAUAUGUGUAAGUAACUGUGCACAUCUUGACGGUACCUAAUCAGAAAGCCACGGCUAACUACGUG
rnacentral:rRNA from 1 species